rnacentral:rRNA from 1 species
GACGAACUGUGCAAACGUUAUUCGGAGUCACUGGGCUUGAAGAGUGCGUAGGCGGUUUCGUAAGUAGGGUGUGAAAGCCCCCGGCUCAACCGGGGAACUGCGUCCUAAACUGCGGGGCUGGAGUGAGGUAGGGGUGUAUGGAACUUCCAGUGGAGCGGUGAAAUGUGUUGAUAUUGGAAGGAACGCCGGUGGCGAAAGCGACACACUGGGCCUUGUCUGACGCUGAGGCACGAAAGCCAGGGGAGCAAACGGG